rnacentral:rRNA from 1 species
UGCACGUCUAAGUACAGACUGAUGUAAAAGUGAAACCGCGAAUGGCUCAUUAAAUCAGUUGUGGUUCCUUGGAGCUUUUCUCCCCAUACUUGGAUAACUGUGGUAAUUCUAGAGCUAAUACAUGCAAGCGGAGCUCCGACCGCAAGGGACGAGCGCUUUUAUUAGACCAAAACCAAUCGGGCUUUGCCCGUUCUUGGUGGUGACUCUGGAUGACUUUGAGCAGAUCGCACGGGUACACCCCGGCGACGUGUCCUUCGAGUGUCUGCCUUAUCAACUGUCGAUGGUAGGUUACGCGCCUACCAUGGUCGUAACGGGUGACGGGGAAUCAGGGUUCGGUUCCGGAGAGGCAGCCCGAGAAACGGCUACCACAUCCAAGGAAGGCAGCAGGCGCGCAAAUUACCCACUCCCGGCUCGGGGAGGUAGUGACGAAAAAUAACGAUACGGGACUCUUUCGAGACCCCGUAAUCGGAAUGAGUACGCUSUAAAUACUCUAACGAAAGCAAUCGAAGGGCAAGUCUGGUGCCAGCCGCUGCGGUAACUCCAGCUUCGAUAGCGUAUAUUAAAGUUGCUGCGGUUAAAAAGCUCGUAGUUGGAUCUCAGUUCCAGGCGGGCGGUCCGCCUYCRCGGCGGUACCYGCACGUCCUGAACAMUCUGCCGAUUGCACGUYRUGAUCUUCACCGGUUGUGACGGGCGGCCGGCGAGUUUACCUUGAAGAAAUUAGAGUGCUCAAAGCAGGCACUGGUGCCCGAAUAAUGGUGCAUGGAAUAAUGGAAUAAGACCUCGUCUCUGUUUUGUUGGUUUUCGGAACACGAGGUAAUGAUUAAGAGGGACAGACGGGGGCAUUCGUAUUGCGGCGCUAGAGGUGAAAUUCUUGGACCGCCGCAAGACGAACUACUGCGAAAGCAUUUGCCAAGAAUGUUUCCAUUAAUCAAGAACGAAAGUUAGAGGUUCGAAGGCGAUCAGAUACCGCCCUAGUUCUAACCAUAAACGAUGCCAUCUAGCGAUCCGGCUGCGUUCCUCAAAUGACGCGCCGGGCAGUUUCCGGGAAACCAAAGACUUUGGGUUCCGGGGGAAGUAUGGUUGCAAAGCUGAAACUUAAAGGAAUUGACGGAAGAGCACACAAGGAAUGGAGCCUGCGGCUUAAUUUGACUCAACACAGGGCAACGAACCUGGUCCGGACACAGGAAGGAUUGACAGAUUAAGAGCUCUUUCUUGAUUCUGUGGGUGGUGGCGCAUGGCCGUUUGUAGUUGG